rnacentral:rRNA from 1 species
AGUGAACGCUGGCGGUAGGCCUAACACAUGCAAGUCGAACGGCAGCACAGUAAGAGCUUGCUCUUACGGGUGGCGAGUGGCGGACGGGUGAGGAAUACAUCGGAAUCUACUUUUUCGUGGGGGAUAACGUAGGGAAACUUACGCUAAUACCGCAUACGACCUACGGUUGAAAGCAGUGGAUCUUCGGACCUUGCGCGAUUGAAUGAGCGGAUGUCGGAUUAGCUAGUUGGCGGGGUAAAGGCCCACCAAGGCGAGGAUCCGUAGCUGGUCUGAGAGGAUGAUCGGCCACACUGGAACUGAGACACGGUCCAGACUCCUACGGGAGGCAGCAGUGGGGAAUAUUGGACAAUGGGCGCAAGCCUGAUCCAGCCAUACCGCGUGGGUGAAGAAGGCCUUCGGGUUGUAAAGCCCUUUUGUUGGGAAAGAAAAGCAGCAGGUUAAUACCCCGCUGUUCUGACGGUACCCAAAGAAUAAGCACCGGCUAACUUCGUG